GUCCUUAUGUAGCUGUGUAAGGUCUGGCCUGCCCACUGGGCGAUGAGUCUGAAGGGCCGCGGUAUACUAACCGUGCGAAGGUAGCAUAGUCAAUAGUCUUUUAAUUGGAGGCUUGAAUGAACGGUCGGACAUGAAGAAAUCUGUCUUAGCCCGGGGGAGUGAAGUUAACUUUUGUGUGAAAAGGCAUUAAUGAUUUAGGGGGACGAUAAGACCCUAUAAAGCUUGAUGAUUGGGGCAGGAGAGUCUCGAUUUUGGUUUAAGGGGGCUUUUGUGAUAUUCAUUGUGCUGGGGCGGCAGAAAUAUAAAUUGUAACUGUUUUUAAAGUGUAAUAAUUGUAAUUAGAUCUUGAUCCUGAAUUUUGGAUUAAAAGUGUAAGCUACUUUAGGGAUAACAGCGUUAUUUCUCUUGAGAGUUCAUAUCGACAGAGAAGUUUGCGACCUCGAUGUUGAAUUAAAGUUUCUUCCGGGGGCAGGAGUUCGGUGAGUGGGUCUGUUCGACCCUUAAAAUUUUACGUGAUCUGAGUUCAGACCGGAC
rnacentral:rRNA from 1 species